rnacentral:rRNA from 1 species
AUUGAACGCUGGCGGCAGGCCUAACACAUGCAAGUCGAACGGUAACAGGAAGAAGCUUGCUUCUUUGCUGACGAGUGGCGGACGGGUGAGUAAUGUCUGGGAAACUGCCUGAUGGAGGGGGAUAACUACUGGAAACGGUAGCUAAUACCGCAUAACGUCGCAAGACCAAAGAGGGGGACCUUCGGGCCUCUUGCCAUCGGAUGUGCCCAGAUGGGAUUAGCUAGUAGGUGGGGUAACGGCUCACCUAGGCGACGAUCCCUAGCUGGUCUGAGAGGAGGACCAGCGACACUGGAACUGAGACACGGUCCAGACGCCUACGGGAGGCAGCAGUGGGGAAUAUUGCACAAUGGGCGCAAGCCUGAUGCAGCCAUGCCGCGUGUAUGAAGAAGGCCUUCGGGUUGGAAAGUACUUUCAGCGGGGAGGAAGGGAGUAAAGUUAAUACCUUUGCUCAUUGACGUUACCCGCAGAAGAAGCACCGGCUAACUCCGUG